AGGCGGAAAAGGAUAGCAAAAGGAAGAGAGAAUCGGUCAUUAAAGUUUGUCAAAAAUAUAACGUAACAAAUGUCAUGGAACCGCCAGCUGACAGCAAAGACCGAAAAAGGGUACGGCAAAGGCGCAACGUGCUUGAUCAUUUGCUUGUGAACAAAGAACACAAAGUUCUUUUUUGCUUUAUACCUAAAAUUAGCUGUACCAACAUGCAAAGUAUAUUCGUAGUUAUGGAUGGAUUGUAUCCAAGUGUAGAAGAAGUGAACGCACCUAAAGUACAUAAACAAGUCGUACGUUUGUCUAAUAAAACGUUCACUGAAAAGCAACGAGCGUACAUGCUGAAGAAUUUCUACAAGUUCAUGAUUGUACGAGAUCCUUUGGAGCGGCUCGUGUCUGGGUACCGAGAUAAAUUCCAACAUAAGAAGAGUAUCAAAUUUUGGGCACCUUUAGGAAAACGCAUAAUAAAGAAAUAUCGUUAUAAUAAUACUAAUUCAACGACAGUUAUAACUGGACUUGAUGUGAGUUUCACGGAGUAUGUGCGAUAUUUGAUCGACAAUCCGCCUUGGUCGGUCAACGAGCAUUGGGUACCAUACGAAGACCUAUGCAGGCCUUGUGAGGUGAAAUAUGACUUCAUCGGAUCUAUCGAGAAUCUCAAUCGAGAUGUGACCCACGCCAUGAGACAGAUACAUGCAAAUGAAACCAAGUAUCAUGUGAUGCACACCAGCGGUGCGCUAACCAAAACAAAACGAAAAACAGCAAAUUUUCUUAAAGAACUUUCCCGAAAGUACUUUGAUCAACUAUUGGCUGCUUUUAAAACAGACCACGAGUUAUUUGGGUAUCCUCUGCCCGAAUACGAUACAUUGGAUAAGCGUUACCCCGCCUGAUAAGAAUGGUAUACAUUAUUUGCCUAUAUACUGCAGAUUCAGGUUGAGUAUUUAAUGACGUCACGAUCAUGUGAGCGUUGAAAUAGAAAAACGCGGGUGUUGUCAAGUGGCAAAUUACUUGUUGCUAUGAGGGAGCGGUGACAUUUUGAAUUGAAUAUAUAUGUUUAGAAUUUACACUGUGAUGCAAUAAUAUGGAACUAAAUAUAUAUAUGAAUAUAACCCCUAUAUUUAUAGGGAACAAAGGCUUGCUAUCUUUAACGUAUGAUGAUUUUUUCUCGCGUGUUUUUGGGCAAAGAACUGCACCAAGCGAGGGUCGAUGCGAUUGAAUAUCGUAGAACCAGUUCGGCCUGAAAUUGACUUGUCAUCGAAGCAUUUUAAAUUUCAAAUAAU